UGCAUCUAUGUAUGUGCCUGGUGCCCGUGG
rnacentral:piRNA from 1 species